UUAAUAAUUUUUAGUGCAACGUGAACUUUAUAAACUAUGAAGUGAUGAAAUAACAUUUUACUUGUUAAAUUCAAAGAGAGGAAAGCAUGGAUAAAACUAUCAAGUUUGUGUAUGCUAUGAUUUUAUUUAUUUCUAUGUUUCUAGCUGCAAGGAAUGUUGACGCAUACCUUAAGUGUAAAACAGUUCAUGAUUGUCCAAAAAGUCAGGUUGUGUAUAGGUGUGUUGGAAACUAUUGUCGUGCUGUUAAAAUAAGGCGAUGGAACUUAGGUUAAGUCAGUUGAUGAGUUCAAUACCAAAGAGAUUACACUUAUGUCAUGCAGGGAAAAUGGGUUCUUACACUAGCAAAAAAAUCUAUGCAAUAUACCUUUAUGCUAAAAUUGCCUCUUUUUUUAAUUUUAUUUUUGAACUUUUAUGGACCUUACAAUAAUGGAUUUGUACUCUAAGAA